rnacentral:rRNA from 1 species
GGACGAACGCUGGCGGCGUGCCUAAUACAUGCAAGUCGAGCGAAGUUUUUCUGGUGCUUGCACUAGAAAAACUUAGCGGCGAACGGGUGAGUAACACGUAAACAACCUGCCUCAUAGACUGGGACAACUAUUGGAAACGAUAGCUAAUACCGGAUAACAGUAUUUCUCGCAUGAGAGAUAUUUAAAAGUUGGUUAUGCUAACACUAUGAGAUGGCUUUGCGGUGCAUUAGCUAGUUGGUGGGGUAAAGGCCCACCAAGGCGACGAUGCAUAGCCGACCUGAGAGGGUGAUCGGCCACACUGGGACUGAGACACGGCCCAGACUCCUACGGGAGGCAGCAGUAGGGAAUCUUCCGCAAUGGGCGAAAGCCUGACGGAGCAACGCCGCGUGAGUGAAGAAGGAUUUCGGUUCGUAAAGCUCUGUUGUUAGGGAAGAAUGGAUAUGUAGUAACUAUACAUGUAAGAGACGGUACCUAACCAGAAAGCCACGGCUAACUACGUG